ensembl:misc_RNA
CCCCGGGCACACGAGGCCUCCACUGCGGUUGCGCAGCCCGCCGAAGAACUUGCGGCUUUUACUGCGGCUGCGCAAACUCGACGCGCGCACUCCUGUCCGCUGACGAGGGCUCCUCCCUUCAGCUUCAGUCCCUCGGGGCGUUUGGGCAGCCUACGCUUUCCG